rnacentral:rRNA from 1 species
AAUUGGAGGGCAAGUCUGGUGCCAGCAGCCGCGGUAAUUCCAGCUCCAAUAGCGUAUAUUAAAGUUGUUGCAGUUAAAAAGCUCGUAGUUGAAUUUCGGGAUUGACGUGAUGGUCGUGCCUUAAGGGGUAUGAACUGUCGCAGUUGAUUUCUCACCUUCUGGAGAAGCAUGAUGUCCUUAAUUGGGUGUCAUGUGGAACCAGGACCUUUACCUUGAAAAAAUUAGAGCGUUUAAAGCAGGCAUUUUGCUCGAAUACAUUAGCAUGGAAUAAUAGAAUAGGACGGCAUGGUUCUAUUUUGUUGGUUUCUAGGAUCACCGUAAUGAUUAAUAGGGAUAGUUGGGGGCAUUAGUAUUCAAUUGUCAGAGGUGAAAUUCUUGGAUUUAUUGAAGACUAACUACUGCGAAAGCAUUUGCCAAGGAUGUUUUCAUUAAUCAAGAACGAAAGUUAGGGGAUCGAAGACGAUCAGAUACCGUCGUAGUCUUAACCAUAAACUAUGCCGACUAGGAAUCAGACGAUGUUAAUUUUUUAAUGACUCGUUUGGCACCUUACGGGAAACCAAAGUGU